rnacentral:lncRNA from 1 species
GCACAGUGGUGGCCACCGCGACUGGUGCUGAAGUGUUGGCGCGUGCCGGGCGCUCCGCUGGGACCCGGGUUGCUGGCCCUGAGUCUCAGCUUUCUCAUCUGUACGGUUGGGACAAGUACAGUAACCCUCGCCCGUCAAGACGGGCCAGGGCUGUGGCGAGGGUCCACGCCUUAGAGCAGGCAGGAGUAGGGCUGAUUGGAGCCAUUGUACAGUGUCGGGAACAUACCAGGACACUGAGAAUAGUGUCAUGUCAUAAGGACCCAGAGCAGAUGGACCCUGCUGUGAUGCACAAAGAAAUCAAUGGAGCCUAUUCUUCCAAAUAAUCCUUAAAUAUUACUUAUCUCAACUGAGAUUUUGGUGAAAAUUUAGCUUUAGAGCUUUUAUUGACCUGCCAAUGACCUGAAGUUAAGAUUAUUCUUUUCUACUGAAUGAAGACAAACUACCUUAUAAAAAUUAACCCAGAAGGCUGUAGAGGGAUGAAAUGGGAUUUUGUUGGCACCAAGACCUGAUUGCUUUGCCAGUUACCCUCACCCCUGGCUCACAAGGAAAGUGUAUGGAGGAGAUUCUCGAGGAACCACAUGAGUUUUAAUAUCAUAAGCUUCUGCCCUGAAUUGAAAGAUAGCAGCAUUUUAAUCAUCUCUUCCAUUAAACCAAGAUUACACAAAAGCGUUUGAGGACACUGAGGACUGGGACUUCUAAUUUUGCUUCAGAAACCAGUACUCAAAAUGUCUGGUUUGGAGGAGCUGGGCUGCUUGGAUCAGAGGUUCCAUGGUCUGAACUACUCCACUCUGGUGAAGGUUUCUUCCCCAAAGCCACUCCUCAAGCUGACUUAUAUUGUACCUGAGUUGCAUGCCUGUGCUCCAAGAGCAGACGUCCUUCCGCAGGAGCAGGUCAUUAAGAGUCACUGCGUUGAUCAUGUAGAAGAGCUGUUUGAAUACCUGCAGGAUGAUCUCAGGGUCCAAGCCCUGGUCACACAUGACUGUAUGAAAGGCAUUCAUCUGGCGGAUGAUAGCUUCCAGGCGGUAUGAGUUAUCCCCAUCUGCCAUGCUGGAGGAGUGCUUCUGGGAGCCAGUGGGCUUCACACCAGAUAG